UGAGUUGAUUUUAUUGGAGAGUUUCCACCGUGGUAGGGCAAGAGAAAACGGGAAACUGCACAAUGAGACUAGCUCUCCUCUGACAGGGUUUCACCAAGAUAGAUGACAGUGAUCCAUGUCUGGAUGGGUAAUUUAAUCACAGGUCUUCUCUAGCAGGGGUAGUACAGUAUAAUCAUUAUGAGGAUAUUAAUGCAUGGAGGUUAUUGGCUGGAUGUCAGCAGCUGGUUGUCUUGACGUAAGCCUCCAGGGAUUCACAGCUGUGGCUCCAGGAGCAGGCUGGAGCCCACUGUGAUCUAGGAGCUUUAAAGGACCAUGUUAGUGACUGACAGGUGAAGUGGAGGUAGAUAGAUGCUUUUUGUGUAUUCUGACAGAACCUGACUGUGCCAUGUGGUUCACACUUGGUUACAUGAAGCAAGCAACAAGCGAAACCAUCUGCAUCAUUUGAAUCUGUUUGGAUCAUCACUAAUUCAAUUUUAUCUGCAUUCAGAACUGUGAAAUGGAGCUGAUAAAAUUCACAAUCAGAAAGUGAAAUUAUAUGUAAUUAAAUAAAGAUCACCAGUAUUCACAGGGUAGAAAACCUUCCCUGUGGUUUUGAAAAUUGGGAGGAAAGCGUGAUCACCCCUUUUCCUUGAUACGUGAAGACCUUGAUAGUUUUCUGUAGUUUUUUGGUCUUGUUUCUAAGUUUGACAAUGUGUUACACUCUUAUAUGCAACAGUAACAAAAGUAAAAGUAUUUAAUUUAGAUUUCUAGAAUUUUGUCUCCUUAGAAGCCAUUUAUAGUGGAAAUUAGUGUUCAAAACCUGCAGGUAUAUAACUUUAAAACAUGAACUGUUGAUUUGUGUUCGUCAUAACGAGCACCUUCACAACAAGGGACCUUAAAAGUGAUAUAAACUCUUAAAAAUGCCUUUUCUUGCUAUCAUUAUUUUAGCUUGAAACAAAUCCCCCAUCACUAGCAACUCCACCCUCCACCAUCAUCCCCUUUGCUCAAACCGCUCAUUCUUGUUCUGCGAGUACUCAUUAGAAGAACAAUCAGAGUUAUAUUUAGCCUGCUGUUGAGAAUAUUCUCAGGGAAAGUCAUUCUCUGGUGAAUUAGAGGAGAACCUUAAUGCAGGACAGGGUGAAGGCUAUUCAUUUGUAACUAAAGCUUCUGAUGGCUACUAUGAAUGCACGCAUAAGAGAAGAGGAACUGGUAAAAGGCUGACUGACAAAAAUUAUUCAGUUUUUGUUGGGUAACUCCCUGCAGUGAGAAGGUCUAAAAUACAACACAUCAAACAGAAGAAAGCGCAAAGCAGAUUUUUUUAAAUCUCCUGAGGCUGCCAACAACACUGCAAUUGAUUUAGUAUGAAAUAAAAUACCGUGUGCUUGUAAUUUCAAUGUAAAAGCUUUUUGGUGUGUUUUUAAAUAGCGAUGUGAUCAGUAGGCGUUUGAGUAGAAAAAGAGGCAGUGAAAUGUCAAAUUCUUAUUUUAAUCUUCUUUCAGUUUCCACAUUUUCAUGCACCGGGGAAUACCAGUGCAGAACUAACCUUGUCGCCAUCUCAUCCCUCGGUUCUCUCUCUCUCUCUACCCUCUCAAGAGUUUCAUCCCGUUUUCAUUUUCCCUUUUUUCUCUGAUCAGAAAAUAUGUGUUGUGUGUCUUCUCUUCUGACAGCGAUAAGGAGGCUGUUGGUUUAUUGCAAGUGAUCUUCAGGGUAGGGAUCUCCAGCUUGGACUCAAGGCUGCAGUGGCCUUACAAACUGAUACAGCUUCUUCACAUGGAGUUUUUGAAUGCAGUUGCAUGUUGUCUGCUUAUGACUUAAGAAAGCCAUUAUGUGACUGUAUUGAUCAUGCUAAUGAAGCAAAAGAGCAUCGUACGCAAGCAGACGUGGAGGUCAAGCAAUGUCACAGUUGACAGAAAUUGUUUGCAGGAAUCGAUUGGGCCUGAGAAACAACACGUUUUCAUUCUGCUCAGUGAUUGAUCUGCUCAGUAUACUGAAAAUGGAGUGAACCCAGCAGACAGACAACAUUCCUGCUGCAGAGAGAGAGAGAGAGAGAGACGACUGGUGGCCUUUACUGGACUUCAUUUGUCCAGCCCAAACACAAGAAAACCAGAUAAUGUCAGUGCCUCCAGGGCCGUCUGACAGAGGACACAUCGGCUGCUGGAGGGACGCCAGGGGACGAGAGCUGUCUUCAUGUCCCCACAACAUCAGCAUGGUGGUCGUGAAGAUUAACAAACUGCCAGGCCCAUCCCCUCCAUGACUGCUCACCUUGAAACCCCUGACACAAGUGAAUGUACACUUUCAGCUUUUCCAGAGUGUUAAAUCUAUCACUUGGAGCUGCACCUUCAACCAAACAUCAGAAUGGAGACAAAUGAGAAACAUGCAGAGAGAGAGAGAGAGAGAGAGAGGUAUAACAUGCAACAAAGGUCCCCCAGCCGAGGGUCGAACUAUGGACAUUACAGUGAAUUCAUCAGGCAAGGUGGCCAUCAUUAGUAUGAGUCGCUCCAGUUGAGUUCACGGCUGUUCGAGGGAGGAAGAUAAAGCUAGAGUCCGCAUGCAGCAUGAUCUGAGACUGGAGGCAACACAUCUGGUCAUGAAUAGGAUAGAUGGAUGAACGCUAGAGUGGCCUGUUUUAAGCCUGCUUCCUCACAAGUGGGUGGAUGAGAUUCAUGCCCAGCUGGAUAGAAGACUCUUGUUCUUUGCCAUGCAGGAUUGCUUUCCAGCCAUAAGGAUGACACGUUUUCUCCUUUCUAAAAGAUAACAAGGAGAUGAUAGAGCACAAAGUGCACGAUUUGUAGAAGAAAAACUGUAACCCUGCAUGCAUUUUGCUCAUAUAUCAUAUUUACAUAAAGUUAUGUGUAGUGGUCAUGCCUAUGAUUCUUGAGCUUUGAUUUAUGGUGUCCCUAAAAAAAAACAGUGAGAGAUGAGACAAGUUUUACUAUACACAGGUAACUUGAUCAAACCACCUGAUUUCAUGAAAAGACAUUUGAAUUAUUCUGAUCCUGUUACUCUAACUGAUCUUGUUAACUAUGAGAGCUAAUUUGUAAUUUAAAAGCAGCAGAAACUAUCUCCAGUCUUCUCUUCCAGCAUACUCUGUAUUAGUAUGACAAGCAAUAAACAACAUACUGUAAUAUGCAUUCUGUGUUGUUCUCCUGAGUGCCAGGCCUCAUUAGCAUUAUUUGCAAACAUCACAAUGCGUAUA